rnacentral:tRNA from 1 species
ACCUGGGUGGGCAGCGUGGCCAGGAACCGGGAGACCUUCGCGGUGUCGGGGGUGAGCCCCCGGGAGAGCGUCACGUUCGGGUACGUGAUCCUGGUC